rnacentral:rRNA from 1 species
GAUGAACGCUGGCGGCGUGCCUAAUACAUGCCAGUCGAGCGAACGGACGAGAAGCUUGCUCCUCUGAUGUUAGCGGCGGACGGGUGAGUAACACGUGGAUAACCUACCUAUAAGACUGGGAUAACUUCGGGAAACCGUAGCUAAUACCGGAUAAUAUUUUGAACCGCAUGGUUCAAAAGUGAAAGACGGUCUUGCUGUCACUUAUAGAUGGAUCCGCGCUGCAUUAGCUAGUUGGUAAGGUAACGGCUUACCAAGGCAACGAUGCAUAGCCGACCUGAGAGGGUGAUCGGCCACACUGGAACUGAGACACGGUCCAGACUCCUACGGGAGGCAGCAGUAGGGAAUCUUCCGCAAUGGGCGAAAGCCUGACGGAGCAACGCCGCGUGAGUGAUGAAGGUCUUCGGAUCGUAAAACUCUGUUAUUAGGGAAGAACAUAUGUGUAAGUAACUGUGCACAUCUUGACGGUACCUAAUCAGAAAGCCACGGCUAACUACGUG